rnacentral:lncRNA from 1 species
UCGGGACCCCUCUCUGUGACUGUGAGCUGUUCUGUUCUUUUGCCUAUUAAACUCCUGCUCCAAACUCACUCGAUGUGUGUGUGCAUGUCCUUGACCUCAAUAUCUGGUCGUGUGACCAAGAACCUCAGUAUUCACCCCAGACAACAAGGCUGCUUCAUUUUGAGGGCUCGUCUGGGAUUUGAAGGUGACUUCAUCAGAAUGGAAAGUCUCUGGCUGACAAACAAUUGCCUCCUCAAAUACCAAGCUUUGCUGCUAAAGGGAUCUGCAGUCCAGCUGAAAACCUGCCCUUGCCUGAGCCCAGCCACUUUCUCCCAGAGAAAACUGGAGAACCUAAACAUGAUUGUGAACAGAAUGGCUUCCGGUGGCCUGGGACUCCUUGGGGAAACAGAAAAUGCACCACAAAUCCCAUUUUAGGAAAAAUCUGUUUUCCUCGGAGCCCCUGGAAUUAAAGGCGCAGUAAGAUUGAGGAGCUAAAAACAGACUUGGGUGGAUGUCUGCAGCUGCAAGAAGAUGUGUGGGAACAGACACAGAAACUCUCCCUCCCAGAUAAGCAAGACAAAGAAACACAGAAUAAGAGUCCAUCUAUGUGGUCAGAGAAUGGGAUAAGAGCUGAUUUAAAAAAACUCUGCUCUAUAUAGAAGGCACACCUGGUCCCAACCAAACCACUGGACCCUAGGAGGAUAAGACCUCCUCUGCUCAUGAGCCCCCUCCUCAGUAGCCCAUUUAUAAAAACCCUGACAAUUUUACUACCACUUGGCAACCCGCUCGGGACCCCUCUCUGUGAUGGAGAGCUGUUCUUUUCUUUUGCCUAUUAAACUCCUGCUCCAAACUCACUGUGUGUGUGUCUGUCUGCAACCUCAAUCUCCUUGGCCAUGACACCAAAAACCUUAGUAUUUACCCCAGACAACAAGGCUGCUUCACCAGCCUUCUCACAUUAAAUUCCACACAUUGCAUGUCGGUGCUGUCACAGCUGUGUCUAUCACCACAGCAACAAGCAGACGGACUC